CUUUUACAUGUGAAAAUUAAAAGUAGAUUUAUCUGUCUUGUACUGUGACUUCUGAUGUGAUUUCUUAACGCUAUAGAAUUGACUAAGGCCCCUUCUUCCCUUCCGGGAGAAUCAUACAUUCUAGGCGAGCUGCGAACUCCAGGGUUUAUGAAUAUCACACAUUUAAUGUAAUGGGUAUUUUACAUACCAGUUAGAUGGAAUUUUUAAGAGUGGGAGAAUUAAGUAGGAUUUAAUUGGGUGCUUUGUAAAUAGUGAAGUGUGUGUAAACGUGCUCUGUUGGAUUUUUAAAAGGUAAAGGAUUUGUUUCAGAUUAUACAAG
rnacentral:lncRNA from 1 species